UACGUAGGGGGCAAGCGUUAUCCGGAUUUACUGGGUGUAAAGGGAGCGUAGGCGGCGGAGCAAGUCAGAAGUGAAAGCCCACAGCUUAACUGUGGAACCGCUUUUGAAACUGUUCUGCUAGAUUGCAGGAGGGGCAGGCGGAAUUCCUGGUGUAGCGGUGAAAUGCUUAGAUAUCAGGAGGAACACCGGUGGCGAAGGCGGCCUGCUGGACUGUAAAUGACGCUGAGGCUCGAAAGCGUGGGGAG
rnacentral:rRNA from 1 species